AUGGCAGAAAGGAGCAGGCAGCCACAGCUGGAUCUGGAUGGAGAAGAGGAGGCUGGAGGCCAAGCUGAGAAGCAGUCUUCACUCUUUGAACAGGUUUCCAUUUCAGCAACUCCUCCCUCCUUCCCAGACCUUCGUAAAGGCGGCACCCUGCUGUUGUCUAUACCACAGCACAGCCAGCCAAGUAUGGUGUUUGUCCUGUUUUCUGGAAACUCCUUGAUAGCAGGCUUAUGUCUGGUUCGUCGAUGUGGCCCUGGCAUCUGGCACGUAGUCAGAAAGACUGUUUUCAAGGUCCUGAUAUGUGUAGCAAAGCAGAGAAGGACCUGGUUAGAGGUGGAAGGGAGAAGACCAAGAUGGCAGCAGACCAAGACCUUGGAUGCAGAAGUACGCAAGAAAUCUCCAUUGCUGGCAGCAAUGGCCAGCGCUGAAACUUAUGUCAUCUCCCACUUUGCGUCGCCGCAGGUAGGACGGUUCUUCUGCCACUGCUGCUCCCUGGAAAUCGUCCCGCGCCUAUCGGAUUAUAUCUGCCCAAGAUGCGCGUCUGAUUUUAUCGAGGAGCUUCCUGAAGAGACCAGGAGCACAGAAAACAGUUCUGCCCCUUCCACUGCCCCCACGGACCACAGCCGGCCGCCGUUGGAGAACGUGGACCAGCAUCUGUUCACGCUGCCGCAGGGCUACGGGCAGUUUGCUUUCGGCAUCUUUGACGACAGCUUCGAGAUCCCCACGUUCCCUCCUGGGGCGCAGGCUGACGGCAGCAAGGACCCUGAGAGACCGUGGGAGAGAGAGCAUCAGUCCCGGCCCCGUACUGCGCCCGGCAGCCUCUCCUCCGCCUCCCCACGGGCCACCGGCCGGCCCAAAGGCCUCCCCACGCUAGAAGGGAUCAUCCAGCAGCUCGUCAACGGCAUCAUCACGCCCGCCACCAUCCCCGGCCUGGGUCCUUGGGGAGUCCUGCACUCAAACCCUAUGGAUUACGCCUGAGUGGCCAACGGCCUGGACGCCUUCGCACAGCUCCUCAAUCAGUUUGAAAACACGGGCCCCCCCACCGGCAGAUGAAGAGAAGAUCCAGUCCCUCCCCACCGUCCCCGUCACCGAGGAGCACGUAGGCUCCGGGCUCGAGUGCCCCGUGUGCAAGGAUGACUACGCGCUGGGCGAGCAGCUGCCCUGCAACCACCUGUUCCACGAUGGCUGCAUAGUGCACCGGCUGGAGCAGCACGACAGCUGCCCCGUCUGCCGAAAAAGCCUCCCGGGACACAACACGGCCACGAACACCCCCGCCCCGAGCCCGACUGGGAUGAGCUGCUCCUCCUCGUCGUCCUCCCCCUCCUCCAGCUCGCCCAGCAACGAGAACGCCACAAGCAACUCCUGAGCCCUUGUGGGCCGGCACCCACCCCUGCCCGCUGCGCCUGAGGCUGCGGGGAAACCGCGGGGCCUUUCCCAACCACCCUCAGCCAGCGCCGCACGGCACCCACAGACUGGGUGCCCCGGAGGCGCCACUCUUGGCUGGUCAGUGCUACAGGCCCUGCCUGUUCCAGGGCAGGACCCUGGCCCGGCCCACCGGCUCCCUGGCUCGGGAAGGCGUGGGCCACAUGGUCCCCUCUGGGGCGUCCUCAGCCUCCCCGUCUUUUGUCUAACCUCACCCUCUAAACGUUCAGCGGUGGAAAGAUUUUUAGAAUUUUAAAUUAUUACUGCUUUGAAAUAAAUGGAAGUUUUAGCUCA